rnacentral:rRNA from 1 species
UCCGGUUGAUCCUGCCGGACCUGACUGCUAUCGGGAUAAGACUAAGCCAUGGAAGUCGACGCGCGCCCUUGCGCGCGUGGCGUACGGCUCAGUAACGCGUGGUUAACCUGCCCUCGCGAUGGGUAUAACCUCGGGAAACUGAGGAUAAUCCCCAAUAGGCGAUUGGAUCUGGAAGGACCUUUCGCCCAAAGGGAUGGGGCAAAUGGGCCUCAUCCGCGCGAGGAUGGGACUGCGUCCCAUCAGGCAGUUGGUGGGGUAAUGGCCCACCAAACCUAUAACGGGUACGGGCCGUGAGAGCGGGAGCCCGGAGAUGGGCACUGAGACAAGGGCCCAGGCUCUACGGAGCGCACCAAGCGCGAAACCUUCGCAAUGCGGGAAACCGUGACGGGGCCAUCCCGAGUGCGGGCCGCUGAGGCCCGCUUUUGCUCAGUGUAAGAAGCUGGGCGAAUAAGUGGGGGGCAAGACUGGUGUCAGCCGCCGCGGUAAUACCAGCUCCACGAGUGGUCAGGACGGUUAUUGGGCCUAAAGCGUCCGUAGCCGGCUCAGCAAGUUUAUGGUGAAAUCCGUCGUCUCAAGCGUCGGAGUGCUGUAAAUACUGCUGGGCUAGGGAGUGGGAGAGGCCGAGGGUACCUCCGGGGUAGGGGCGAAAUCCUAUAAUCCCGGAGUGACGACCAGUGGCGAAAGCGCUCGGCUAGAACACGUCCGACGGUGAGGGACGAAAGCUGGGGCAGCAAACCGGAUUAGAUACCCGGGUAGUCCCAGCCGUAAACCAUGCGGGCUAGUUGUCGGAGCGGCUUAGUGCCGCUCCGGUAACGCAGGGAAGCCAUUAAGCCCGCCGCCUGGGGAGUACGACCGCAAGGUUGAAACUUAAAGGAAUUGGCGGGGGAGCACCACAAGGGGUGAAGCUUGCGGCUCAAUUGGAGUCAACGCCGGAAAACUCACCAGGGGAGACAGCAGUAUGAAGGCCAAGCUAACGACUUUGCCAGACGCGCUGAGAGGAGGCGCAUGGCCGUCGCCAGCUCGUGUUGUGAAACGUCCGGUCAAGUCCGGGAACGAGCGAGACCUCCGUCUUUAGUUGCAACCCUUCAGGGGGCACACUAAAGAGACCGCCACCGAUUAAGGUGGAGGAAGGAGGAGGCAACGGCAGGUCAGCAUGCCCCGAAACCUCUGGGCUGCACGCGAGCUGCAAUGGCAGGUACAAUGGGAUCUGACCCCGUAAGGGGAAAGCAAUCCUCAAAGCCUGCCUCAGUUGGGAUCGAGGGCUGCAACCCGCCCUCGUGAACCUGGAAUCCCUAGUAAUCGCGUGUCAACACCGCGCGGUGAAUACGUCCCUGCUCCUUGCACACACCGCCCGUCGCUCCAACCGAGUUGGCUUCAGAUGAGGCAUCACCUUCGGGUGGUGUCGAAUCUGAGGUCGACGAGGUGGGAGAAGUCGUAACAAGGUGGCCGUAGGGGAACCUGCGGCCG